AGGGAUUCCCUUAGUAAUGGCGAAUGAAAAGGGAAAGGCUCAAAUUUAAAAUCACUCACGUGAAUUGUAGUUUAUAAGAUAAAAGUCUCACAGCAACCACUGUCCAAGUGCUCUGGAAUGAACCAUCAUAGAGGGUGAAAUUCCCGUACUAAACAGAGAGGAAGCUGCAAAGAACUUUAAUCUAACGAGUCGUGUUGCUUGAUAAUGCAGCAUUAAUAGGGAGGUAAAUUCCUUCUAAAGCUAAAUACAAGAGAGAGACCGAUAGCAAACAAGUACCGUGAGGGAAAGAUGAAAGAGAACCCUGAAAAGGGGACUCAAAAGAAUGUGAAAUUGUCAAAAGGUAAGCGCUAAGAACUGUCCGUAGUUUGGAUUUUAAGAUUGAUGGGGUUUACUCCGUUGAAAUUAAGGUUCAGAUGGCUAUAGCUUUUGUCUCGACCUUUAAGAGCAUUGGGAUAAGGAUUGUAGGCUUCGGUUUACCUUUCUUUGAACUUUGCUUUUAAGAGUUGGGGCAGGAUGAAAAGUCUCAUGCUGUGGUAAACAUGUGGAACUUUAUUCAAUAGACUUGUCUAGAGAGUAUUAGGAAGUAUGUUUGCUACAUCAAGAGCACUUAUAGUUAGGAGGUUCUAAGCGUCCCGUCUUGAAACACGGACCAAGGAGUCUAACAUUUAUGCAAGUAUAUGGGCGUUAAACCUCAAAUGCGAAAUGAAAGUAAUUUCAGGUAGGAUCCUGCAAGGGUGCACUAUCAACCGAACCUUAUGGACUUGUUCAUAGGAUUUGAGUAAGAGCAUAAAUGUUGGUACCCGAAAGAUGGUGAACUAUGCCUGAAUAGGGUGAAGCCAGAGGAAACUCUGGUGGAAGCUUGUAGCGAUUCUGACGUGCAAAUCGAUCGUCGAAUUUGGGUAUAG
rnacentral:rRNA from 1 species